rnacentral:rRNA from 1 species
UGAGUAACCUGCCCUUAACUCUGGGAUAAGCCUGGGAAACUGGGUCCAAUACCGGAUAUGACUCCUCAUCGCAUGGGUGGGGGGUGGAAAGCUUUAUUGUGGUUUUGGAUGGACUCGCGGCCUAUCAGCUUGUUGGUGAGGUAAUGGCUCACCAAGGCGACGACGGGUAGCCGGCCUGAGAGGGCGACCGGCCACACUGGGACUGAGACACGGCCCAGACCUCCGUACGGGGAGGCAG